rnacentral:rRNA from 1 species
GACGGAGGAGGCAAGCGGUAUCCGGAAUUAUUGGGCGUAAAGGGUACGUAGGCGGCUGGUCAAGUCUGGGGUCAAAGGCCACAGCUCAACUGUGGCAAGGCCCUGGAAACUGACCGGCUAGAGCGAGGUAGGGGUUGCGGGAAUUCCCGGUGUAGCGGUGAAAUGCGUAGAGAUCGGGAAGAACACCUGAGGCGGAAGCGCGCAACUGGGCCUCAACUGACGCUGAGGUACGAAAGCUAGGGGAGCGAAUGGG